rnacentral:rRNA from 1 species
UGACUGAGCGGCGGACGGGUGAGUAACGCGUGGGUAACCUGCCUCAUACAGGGGGAUAACAGUUAGAAAUGACUGCUAAUACCGCAUAAGACCACAGCACCGCAUGGUGCAGAGGUAAAAACUCCGGUGGUAUGAGAUGGACCCGCGUCUGAUUAGCUUGUUGGUGGGGUAACGGCCUACCAAGGCGACGAUCAGUAGCCGGCCUGAGAGGGCGACCGGCCACAUUGGGACUGAGACACGGCCCAAACUCCUACGGGAGGCAGCAGUGGGGAAUAUUGCACAAUGGGGGAAACCCUGAUGCAGCGACGCCGCGUGAAGGAAGAAGUAUUUCGGUAUGUAAACUUCUAUCAGCAGGGAAGAAAAUGACGGUACCUGACUAAGAAGCCCCGGCUAACUACGUGCCAGCAGCCGCGGUAAUACGUAGGGGGCAAGCGUUAUCCGGAUUUACUGGGUGUAAAGGGAGCGUAGACGGAGAGGCAAGUCUGAUGUGAAAACCCGGGGCUCAACCCCGGGACUGCAUUGGAAACUGUUUUUCUAGAGUGUCGGAGAGGUAAGCGGAAUUCCUAGUGUAGCGGUGAAAUGCGUAGAUAUUAGGAGGAACACCAGUGGCGAAGGCGGCUUACUGGACG